AGCAAGCAGUCACUUAUUUACACAUCUAGGAGAUACGGAGUAACAUCGGCAUUGAUUUGGAGCCAUGUUUGUGUCCAUCUGAUGAACAAAUCAUCUCACAACCCCUCAGAUUCAUCCAGUGACCCCUUGUUGGACUUUGGACCCCAGCCACUGUCCUCGGAUGUCUGCUAAGAAGCCAUCAAAGAGGACUACACUCAUCAUGUCUUGAAGAUCUUUAUCGUCCAUGGAUAAGUAGCACAGGAAGGCCACACCCCUGCCCUUGUGUCGAUAAUCAUUGAGGGAAAAGACGUUCUUGACUGUAAAAGUGUGGCAAGAGCAUGCCUUCUGCUCAUGGACUUUAUCGAUGCAAUGAACUUGGUUUACCCACUAAAAUUGAAAUACACAUUCAAAGUGUUUCAGAAGCUCUUUCUUGAGCUUGAUGUCCUGAAGAUGAAGAUAUCUCCCAAAGUACAGUCUUUGCACAACAACCUUCUACCAUGAGUGUUUCCAUGCAAGUUUCUGAACCAAGUUCAUUGUGUUUAACUUUCAGUUCAAGAAAUACAUGGUGGCUAGCAAGGAAAAACUAGUUAGAGAAGAAGUGUUCUAUUUCAAAUCUUGAGCCCGAGCCCACUUUGACCGGCUAUUCAGUUAUGGCAGUGGUUACCAGACUGGUGUGUGGAAGCAUUUCAGGUUGGGGUGAUACAACACAUUGUGAACUGUUGAACAUACAAUUGUUGAAAGAGUUCCUUUUAAAAGACCUAAAAGAAAGUGAUAUGUUAAGUGAUUGCACUUAACAUUUCUUGCAAAGUAAUUGCACUUUAAAGUGAUAGUGUUUUAAUGAAAGUUGUUCUUAAAAUUCUUUUUGGCAGCACUGAUUUAGAAAUAUUUUGUCUGGCAAUGCCAACCAGACUGUAUAUGUUGGAACUGCUGUAAGCAAUUACCUUGUACACCAGUGUUGGCAAACAUAAUGAAGGUGCUGUUGUUUAACAGCUUCUGUUAUUUCAUUUGUAUUUUUUAAAUACUCUAAAUACUCUACCGUAAAGUAAACUUAACUUGAAAAUUUCCUGAGUAAAAAUUACAAAGAAUUUCUAUGUGGAAAUUGUUACCAAGCUUUUUAAAGUAAAUAUUACUCAAAUAUGCAAAAAUAACGACUAGGUCCAGCUUAGAAAAAACAAGUAUUUUUUAAAGCAAUUUGUAAGUAAAUGCAGUGGUAGUGUGAGUAAAAUUUACUCAUGAAAACAGAAAUUUGUUAGUAAACUUUACAAGUAUUUCUUGCUUGAACUUAAUGUUUAUUGGUAUGUAGACUUUAUUGAAAAUAUCUUCUGUUAAUUUACUAGGGAUGUCUGUGUGGAAAUUGUUAA